GAAUUUGUCAGAGAGUAUUAUCUUUGGCGCAAUAAGUCGGUUGUUAUGUGUAUACCAGCACGAAAUUACUUGGGAGAGGUCGGCGAAAUAAUCGCCGGAUAUAUGUGGAUCGAGUAUCAUUAGCUUGUUGCUGUUCAGAAUGACGACUAGAAACAAUGAUGAUUCUUUUCAGCAGUUGCUCAAUGCAUACCUGAAGAUUACGGAGAAAUGCUUCAGACAAUGUAUCCAUACGAAUGAAAGAGCCGAGUUGAAACUUAGAGAGGUUCGACGUUAUGAGGCCUGUGUAAAACGAGAAAUGAAGCUGUACAGAGAAGAUAUGUACAAUAAAAAUACAGAGUGGAAGACAGAAUGAAAUUUUAUUGUCUAUGUAUGAUACAG